ACUGAAUUGUUUCCUUCUCAAAUUCAUAUGUUGAAGCCCUAACCUCCAAUUCGAUGGAAUUUGGAGAUGGGGUCUUUGGGAGAUAAUCAGGUUUAGGUGAGGUCAUGAUGGUGGGACCCUCAUAAUGAGAUUAGCGCACUUAAAAGAAGAGGCACCAGAGAGCUCGCUCUCUCUCCCUGUGCCCCCCCAACCCCCGAAUAUGAAGCUAUGGCUCAAAGGUGGCCAUUUGAAAGGCAGGGAAGAGGGCCUUCACUAGAACCUGGCCAUGCUGACAACCUCACCUUUAGCUUCCACAACUGUCAGAAAGUAAGUUUCUGUAGUUGAAAGCCACCCAGUCUAUGGAAUUUUGUUAUGGCAGCCCAAGCUGACUAACCCAUAGUGUUUUCUAGGUAUUAUAGAACCCACUGAACCACCUUCAUUCCUAACACACUUUUCACAAAUUGCCAGACAUUUUCUUAGAAUAAAUGACCCUCCACUAUGAAUUAUAAAAGCUGAGAAACAUCAUGCAGCAUAUUUGUUGCUGAUUCUAUGUAGUCAUUGCAGUGUAGACAAAUGUGAUACUAAGCAAAUGUUUUCAUGGUUGCCUUCCCCAAGGAGCCCUGUGUAACUAACUUUUCACUAUUAUUAAUAAUGCACAUCAUUAAAUCUAGGUCUUUCUCCAAGCUUUUAAUUCCUUAGGAUAAACUCUUAAAGACUGAAAAACUUGAUUAUAGUUAUAAGCCUUUUAAAGGCUUAUGAUUUGAAUCACUAUUCACUUUCCAUAAGUAUUGUAGUAAGUUCCACUUAUACCAGCUGUUUGCAAGUGUUCUUUUAAAUACCACAAUCCUCAAUGCUAAUCAUUAGAAUUUAAAAUAUUUUAAAAAUAUAAUAGGAAACAUUUAAUUUGUAUUUCUUUGAUAACAUUUUUAAAUUUUCACUUGACAUUUGUAUUUUUCUAUAACUUGUUUUUGUCAUACCAUUGUCAAUUUUUCUAUGGCAGUUUCAACAUUUUCUUAAUGAUGAAUGUUGAAUGACUAUCAACCAGGUUAUAUUUGAUUGAAAAUUACUUUUAACACUUUGACUUUUGAAGAAAGCUGUUUUAUCAGAUACCAUGGUCCUAGCAGUGUUAGAGGGUCACUAGGAAAUGUGGAAAGAAAGUGUUUCUUUGUAUCUUGUUCCAAAAAGUUUAUUUAACACAUACACAUGAGAAUCAGGUAGGCUAGGUGUGUUUUAAGUCAAUACCAUUUCUAAGAGGAUAUCUGAUUUUAAUAAGUAUUUUAGUAAUGAAUCUGAAUGCAUUUACAAAGUGCCCAAAGCAUAGCAAUAUUCAGAGAGCAAGUUUUAAAACAAUUCUUCCUUUGCUAUUCAGCUUCUUCAUCAAGGUUUACUUAUGGUAUUUUUAUAUGGUCAUGCUAUCAAUUACCAGAGAUAUAAAUACAUGCUCAUACUAUAGAAAUUUUAAAAGGAAAACUUAUUUGUGCCUAUUCUGAAUUAGAAUUUAUGAAAUUGAAAUAUUCUCUAAGUAAGUUUCUUGCUUUUUGCAAGCUUUGCUAACUUGAAACCUCCCUUCUCCUUAUAUACUUCCUCAAAUGUGAGAUCAGAAAAUCAGUAAUGCUCAGCCUUGGUUACCAACUGUGCUAGAUGAUAUAGCUGCACACCAUAGCCAAAUGGCAGCUUCUUUUAAUUUUCUGUAGUGAAUCUUCUGAUCAUUCAGGCAAGGUAAAGCUUCACUUUGAGGAGCAAACAUAGCUCUAAGGGCUGACACAUCUGAAUCACAGUUUUUGCUACUAAUAACAUAGCCUGAUACAUUAUCUUUACAUGACUUGGAGAAAUAUAUAUAUAUAUACGUAGAGAUGGGGGCCUAUGUUGCCCAGGCUGGUCUCAAACUCCUGGACUCAAGUGAUCCUCCUGUCUCAGGCUCCCAAAAGUCUGGAAUUAUAGGCAUAAGCCACUAUGCCUGGCCAAUUUUGGCACUUAUUAAUGAUCAAGUCUUAGGUCUCUUUUUUCAUUUUGGAAUUGAAAUGUGAUGAUGCUCUAAUUCUUUCAUUCUUUCUGUAUUUAUUAGCAGAAACUCUUCUAUAAAGAAGAGCUCUUUAUCAGUCAUUUGUUUACCAGAAAAACAAAACAUGUACAAGAAAGACAGAAUAAAUAUUUUAUGUGUCCCUUUAUCUAUUUUUCACGAUAAUAAGUUAUAUCCUAGCCACUUCUAAUGAUAGCCCAUGGGAUGAUUUUCUUCUAGCAUUAUUAUUGAAGAUUUUAUUUUUAUAUACCUGUUGUGUUUUUAGUAGUUAGAGUCAUUCUUUUUGAUACUCAAAUGAUCCAAUCUUUGGCCAAUGAGAGACCAUUCAAAUUGGCUUCUGUUUCCUUCUGGAAUCCCAUUAGUCUUUGGCAGAUUCCUUGCUUCUUGAUACAAGGAAAGAUGUUCAUUUUGUACAUUUCUUUACUCAGCUCUAGAAUUGGUCAUUUCUCCAAGAUGCCCUUGUUCAUUUUAGUGGGUACUGGGUGCUCAUUUCUACUGGGUUUGCCAUUGUUCCUGGGUCUUUUCAGUGGACAGAAUUAGGAAUAUGUGCUUUUUUUUUUUCCAAGAAAAAAUACAUCAUGAAUUUUAUUAUACAGUUGUCUUGAUAAAUUUCCAUCUGUCCUUUUGAAAAAGGCUAAUAUAAAGAGUGUGUACUUUUGAUGUUGUAUUAAUUAGAAUUAACUUUUGCUUCACAGAAGAGAUAUACUUGUAAUAUUCACCAAGUAAGAUCAAAGCUUUUAUCGCUCAUACAAAUGCAAUGUGAUGAUGCUCGUGUGGCAGCUCUGUGUUGUCGUCAGUGACCCAGGCUCCCAUCUUUCCUGCCAUCUUUAGUAUCUCAGCUUCAAUUAGCAUGGGCCAGCAUUCAAUCUAUGCAUUCAUCAACCAAUUAAACCAAAGAGUGGAAGACUCCAAGCUGCCUGUUUUCACAAUGAAUCCAGAAUAACCGAGACUUUUAUUAACCAUGAAAAGCUUUCUCUGGGCAAUGCUUUUGAUUCUGCACAAAGAUAGCCAUAUGUAUAUUUUUUGACAUUUUUAUGCUGAGGUAAAGAAGUGAAAGAAGAUUUAAUGUAACUGCUUCAGAAGUAAGUAUAUAAAAGAGGGUAUCACUGAAAAGUAACCCUUUACAUCAUUUUGGUGAUUAAAGUUCAGGGGAGGAUCUGGCUUUGCCUGGAAUAUUCAGUAAAAACUAUAGAAUUUGGAGUCUUGAAGAGUUACUAGGAAUUUGCAGGGUGAGGAAGUUGUGAAAGUGUUUUAGGUAGGGGGAUAUCUUCCACCAGUUGAUGUUGGGGUUGUCUUUGAUUUAACAGCAUUACAAUGUUGAAAAUAGAUGCGAUGGGUGAUGGUCAGUCUUUGCUCUUUGCAGAAAAGUACAUGUGAAGAGAGUAGAAAGAAUUGGCAAUUUCUCCUUCCUUCCCCUUCUUUCCUAUCCUGGAACAGGUUAUCCAGCAAAACAGGCUGGGCAAAGUUCCAGGUUGCUACUAGAAUAUUUCUAAAGAUGUUAGGUGACUGCCACUCUUAAAGAACAUCUUUGCUCUGCAACUUCCUAUUCCUGAAUUACCUAUAAAAAUAGAAAAACUGCAAUUUACACACCAGACUUUCUAAAAAAUGAUUUGGAGGAGACACUUGGCCUUGCGUAAACCCAAAUCUUCAGUCCUUUUUAGGAUCUACAACUUGUUAUUUAUCUUGCUCCUAUUUACGCCACAUGUCUUUAUCUCACCCUUCAACUAUAAGAUGUGGGAGCAGAGUCCACAUCUUAUACUGCUUUAUAUUUUUCUAUGAACAAUUUCCUAUAAUACAGCACUAAAAUCUGGAUAGAGCCUCUUAAAUACCUACUAGAUUGCUUCUUUGAUUUGGCCUCAUGGGAUGAGAGAAACAGCUGAAAAAUAUGUAUAAGGCUAGUAAAACUGGAGCUAUAAUGGUGGAAGUUGGUGUGUGUUGAAUAUUUCUCAUUGGUUUCCAGACCCACUCUCCACUCUUCUCUAUCCUGCUUUGACUAACCUUUGUGAACUAUAUCAAAUGGCUCCCUUGCCUUCUGGCUUCCAUUUGGGUUCAGCCAAUAUGAGGCAUUGGAAAGAAACAGGAGGGGGAGGAGAAUGAGGUUAGGGCAUUUACUUCCCCAGCUCUCUCUCUGCAGGGCCUCCUGGCUCCUUUGCUCUACCUGCAUCCACAAGUUCUUCUCAGCAUUUUUCUUCUCACCUACGGCUACAACCCUCUUCAGGUUCUAGUGAUUGUUUGCUAUCCUUGCCCCUUAAGAUAUGGAGAAGGGAAUGGCUUGCAAUUAUUUUAGCUUUGGAAUGGUUCACUAUCACUUGCUGAUUUCCUGAACACAGCUCAUAGUAUGCUAAACAGUCCCUCCAUUAACCUCCCUUCUUACUUACUCAUCUAUAUCCAGCUGGGAGUCUAACUGAUGCAGGUGGUAGCCGUAACUUUCUGUGUAACUCUGAGAAUAACACUUUGCAUUUUUAUUUUUGUUAUUGUAAAGUGAAAAUAUAGUCUAAUUUAAUGUGGAUGUUUACCUCUCGGACAAAAACAGACACGCAACCUUCUGAAGUGGGUGCCUGAAAAGACCACAUAUAAUUUUAAAUUACGACCUUCGGUAAUUUGUGAACCAAACGAAAGUUCUUACUCAGCACUGUAUUUUUAUAAACUUGUUUAUGUAACAAAGAUGUUACCUGCCCAAUAAUUUAAUGACCUGUUAUUAACCAGCUGUGCUUAUUCUAACAGAUUGUAUUAGGAGCUUAAUUGACUUAGCCCUCCCAUACAAGAUAAAACUUGCUCAGGAACAGGUUUGACUAUUUCAGUCUUUAUGUAAAUGAGAGUGUGAAUUAAAUGUUUGUGUAAGAAAGAAGUGAUAGUCACGCUGACUCCACGUUUUUUCCCAUUAGUGGCAGAGUAAUAAGAAAAAUCACAAUACUAUUAGAAAUGACAGAAAUAUAUGAUCCCUCGGUAGCUCUUGGUUUAGGGAAGAAUAAAGUAAUCUUAAGAUAUUACUGCUUUAUGAUUUUUAAGAAGGAAUUUUCCUUUUCAGCUAAGAACAUUCAUUCAUCAGAUAUUUUCUGUUAAGAUGCAUUUUUACAUUCAUGUUUCUGCAAGUAAAAGUAGUAUCUAUUGAGUUGGUGCAAAGGUAAUUGCGGUUUUUGCUAUUAUUUUCAAUGACAAAAACCUCAAUUACUUUUGUACCAACCCAAUAAUUGACAGCCAUGUUAAUUUGACAGAAGUCUUGAGUUUCUUUUUUAAGAUUGUUCUCUGAUUAUCACCAGGCAGUGUACACUUUUUGAGGCAUAUUGAGAAAAAUAUUUUUCUAAAAUUUUCUUUCUUCAUUUUUCUCUUAGAGUUGAUUUAUUCUUACAUUAAUAAGGAAAUCUGUCAUCACAGCUGGAAAAUACUAUAAUAGGAGCUUUAAAAACUAAGCAUGCAUAUUGGAUUCUCUUUUGCUUGUCUGAGUACUUAGCUGGAAUCUGGUAAGUUUUUCGAAGGUAAGGACUAUCUUGUAUUCUUUUACCUCCACUGCCUAGCAUGGUGCCUGGUUAAUGACAGAUAUAUGAUGCAUUUUUGAAUGAGUGAAUAGAGGCAAAAUCCCACAUAGUCUUUAAACUGCAUUUCUAUUCUUUCUGAAUAUCUGUAGCAGGUCUUUGAUUUUAUAUUUCUUUCUCCAUUAAAUUCUUUUAUGCUCCUUUUCCCUCUUAAUCACUGACUCUCAUUUUUAUGCACUUGUUUUUUUCCCUAUAUGCAUUCCUUGCUGGAAAUACAGACAUGUCAUGCAUCAGAGUCAAAGUUGCAUCUGCCAACUAGGAAAUGGUGUAAAAUAAAAAAUGUGAAUAAUGAUACUAUCUGUUUGGUGGGACUGGGGUUAAGGGUAAAGGAAAGACAGUGUUAAAAGCUUAUAUUCACUCACACUCUCUCUUAACACCUAUUGUUUUAUUUGGAUACACUACAAUUCUAUCUUUGCUACUAGUAAAAUAAAGAGAUUCUUCUUCAUAUAUUUUAGCAUAUAUACAGCAAAGGCAUUGAGUUUAGUGGUUAUAGGUUAUUAACUAUAAAGAGGAGCUGGUACCACUCCUUCUGAAACUAUUCCGAACAAUCCAAAAAGAGAGAAUUCUUUCCAAAUCAUUUUAUGAGACCAACAUCAUCCUGAUACCAAAACCUG